UUGGAGGGCAAGUCUGGUGCCAGCAGCCGCGGUAAUUCCAGCUCCAAUAGCGUAUAUUAAAGUUGUUGCAGUUAAAAAGCUCGUAGUUGAAUUUCGGGAUUAGUACGUCGGUCGUGCCUUAGGUACGUACUGGUGUUACUGGUUCCUACCUUCUGACGAACCAUCAUGUCAUUAAUUUGGUGUGGUGGGGAAUCAGGACUGUUACUUUGAAAAAAUUAGAGUGUUUAAAGCAGGCUCGCGCUUGAAUACAUUAGCAUGGAAUAAUGAAAUAGGACGUUGAUCCUAUUUUGUUGGUUUCUAGGAUUGACGUAAUGAUUAAUAGGGAUAGUUGGGGGCAUUAGUAUUCAAUUGUCAGAGGUGAAAUUCUUGGAUUUAUUGAAGACUAGCUACUGCGAAAGCAUUUGCCAAGGAUGUUUUCAUUAAUCAAGAACGAAAGUUAGGGGAUCGAAGACGAUCAGAUACCGUCGUAGUCUUAACCAUAAACUAUGCCGACUAAGGAUCGGAUGAUGUUAUUUUUAAUGACUCAUUCGGCACCUUACGGGAAAC
rnacentral:rRNA from 1 species